rnacentral:piRNA from 1 species
UGUCUUAACAAAGAAGAAAGAGUGAUGGA